GAUGAACGCUGGCGGCGUGCUUAACACAUGCAAGUCGAACGAUUGAAGCUGGAGCUUGCUCCGGCCGAUUUAGUGGCGGACGGGUGAGUAACGCGUGGGUAACCUGCCUCAUACAGGGGGGAUAGCAGUUGGAAACGACUGGUAAAACCGCAUAAGCGCACGGUGUCGCAUGACACAGUGUGAAAACACUCCGGUGGUAUGAGAUGGACCCGCGUCUGAUUAGCUAGUUGGUGAGGUAACGGCCCACCAAGGCGACGAUCAGUAGCCGGCCUGAGAGGGUGAACGGCCACAUUGGGACUGAGACACGGCCC
rnacentral:rRNA from 1 species